GAUGAAGAACGUAGCGAAAUGCGAUAAGUAGUGUGAAUUGCAGAAUUUAGUGAAUCAUCGAAUCUUUGAACGCACAUUGCACCUCUCGGUAUUCCGGGAGGUAUGCCUGUUCGAGCGUCAUUUGUACCCUCAAGCUCUGCUUGGUGUUGGGUGUUUGUUCCGCCUCUGUGUGUGAACUCGCCUCAAAACAAUUGGCAGCCGGCGUACUUGUUUCGGAGCGCAGCACAUUUUGCGAUCCAGAUCAACGUACAGCGGCAUCCAAGAAGCCUUAUUUAACGCUCUUGACCUCGGAUCAGGUAGGGAUACCCGCUGAACUUAAGCAUAUCAAUAAGCGGAGGA
rnacentral:misc_RNA from 1 species